rnacentral:rRNA from 1 species
AUUGAACGCUGGCGGCAUGCUUUACACAUGCAAGUCGAACGGCAGCGGGGGCUUCGGCCUGCCGGCGAGUGGCGAACGGGUGAGUAAUGCAUCGGAACGUGCCCAUGUCGUGGGGGAUAACGUAGCGAAAGCUACGCUAAUACCGCAUACGUCCUGAGGGAGAAAGCGGGGGGAUCUUUGGACCUCGCGCGAUUGGAGCGGCCGAUGUCGGAUUAGCUAGUAGGCGAGGUAAAGGCUCACCUAGGCGACGAUCCGUAGCGGGUCUGAGAGGAUGAUCCGCCACACUGGGACUGAGACACGGCCCAGACUCCUACGGGAGGCAGCAGUGGGGAAUUUUGGGACAAUGGGGGCAACCCUGAUCCAGCCAUGCCGCGUGAGUGAAGAAGGCCUCGGUUGUAAGGACUCUUUCGGUCCGGGAAGGAAAGUACGUGGUCGUCUAACAUAGCCAUGGAUGACGUA